rnacentral:rRNA from 1 species
GACGAACGCUGGCGGCGUGCUUAACACAUGCGAGUCGAACGGAAAGGCCCUGCUUUUGUGGGGUGCUCGAGUGGCGAACGGGUGAGUAACACGUGAGUAACCUGCCCUUGACUUUGGGAUAACUUCAGGAAACUGGGGCUAAUACCGCAUAGGAGCUUCUGCUGCAUGGUGGGGGAUGGAAAGUUUCGGCGGUUGGGGCUGGACUCGCGGCUUAUCCGCUUGUUGGUGGGGUAGUGGCUUACCAAGCUUUUGACGGGUAGGCGGCCUUGGAGGGGGACCAGCCACAUGGGGACUGAGGGACGGCGCAGACGCCUACGGGAGGCAGCAGGGGAGAAUAUUGCAGAAUGGGCGGAAGCCUGAUGCAGCAACGCCGCGUGCGGGAUGACGGCCUUCGGGUUGUAAACCGCUUUCGCCUGUGACGAAGCGUGAGUGACGGUAAUGGGUAAAGAAGCACCGGCUAACUACGUG